AUGAACGCUAGCGACAGGCUUAACACAUGCAAGUCGAGGGGCAGCGAGGGCGUAGCAAUACGCCUGUCGGCGACCGGCGCACUGGUGAGUAACACGUAUGCGACCUGCCCCCUACAGGGGUAUAACCCGUAGAAAUGCGGACUAAUCCCCCAUAGUCCUGGGUGCUGCAUGGCAUUCAGGGGAAAGGUCAGCCGGUCGGGGAUGGGCAUGCGGCGCAUUAGGUAGUUGGCGGGGCGACGGCCCACCAAGCCGACGAUGCGUAGGGGUUCUGAGAGGAAGGUCCCCACACUGGUACUGAGACACGGACCAGACUCCUACGGGAGGCAGCAGUGGGGAAUCUUCCGCAAUGGGCGAAAGCCUGACGGAGCAACGCCGCGUGAGUGAUGACGGCCUUCGGGUUGUAAAGCUCUGUGAUCGGGGACGAACGGUCAGCAGACGAAUACUCUGCUGAAGUGACGGUACCCGAAUAGCAAGCCACGGCUAACUACGUG
rnacentral:rRNA from 1 species